rnacentral:rRNA from 1 species
GACGAACGCUGGCGGCGUGCUUAACACAUGCAAGUCGAACGGUGAAAGAGGAGCUUGCUCCUCUGGAUCAGUGGCGAACGGGUGAGUAACACGUGAGCAAUCUGCCCCGAACUCUGGGAUAAGCGUUGGAAACGACGUCUAAUACCGGAUACGACGCGCGAAGGCAUCUUCUGCGCGUGGAAAGAAUUUCGGUUCGGGAUGAGCUCGCGGCCUAUCAGCUAGUUGGUGAGGUAAUGGCUCACCAAGGCGACGACGGGUAGCCGGCCUGAGAGGGUGACCGGCCACACUGGGACUGAGACACGGCCCAGACUCCUACGGGAGGCAGCAGUGGGGAAUAUUGCACAAUGGGCGCAAGCCUGAUGCAGCAACGCCGCGUGAGGGACGA